UUAUGCAUCACUUGGGAAUCUCGCUAAAAUGCAGAUUCUGAUUAAAUGGAUAUGUGCAGAGCUCAAGAGUCAGCAAUUGUAAUGAACUCUCAGAUGAUUCCAAU
rnacentral:pre_miRNA from 1 species